UGUCCUACGGGAGGCAGCAGGGAAUUUUCGUCAAUGGGCGCAAGCCUGAACGAGCGAUGCCACGUGAGUGAAGAAGGCCUUCGGGUCGUAAAGCUCUGUUGCGGGGGAAAAAAGGCAGCAUCAGGAAAUGGGUGCUGACUGAUGGUGCCCCGCCAGAAAGUCACGGCUAACUACGUGCCAGCAGCCGCGGUAAUACGUAGGUGGCGAGCGUUAUCCGGAAUGAUUGGGCGUAAAGGGUGCGCAGGCGGUAUGUCAAGUCAAGGGUGAAAUCCCCGCGCUCAACGUGGGAACUGCCUUUGAAACUG
rnacentral:rRNA from 1 species